rnacentral:rRNA from 1 species
UUACCUGGUCUUGACAUCCCGGAGACCUUAGGAAACUAGGGGUGCUUCCAUCUGGAAGAAUCUGGAGACAGGUGCUGCAUGGCUGUCGUCAGCUCGUGUCGUGAGAUGUUGGGUUAAGUCCCGCAACGAGCGCAACCCUUGCCUUUAGUUGCCAGCAGUUCGGCUGGGCACUCUAAAGGGACUGCCGGUGUUAAACCGGAGGAAGGUGGGGAUGACGUCAAGUCCUCAUGGCCUUUAUGACCAGGGCUACACACGUACUACAAUGGCCGAUACAAAGGGCAGCGACACUGCGAGGUGAAGCCAAUCCCGUAAAAUCGGUACUCAGUCCGGAUUGGAGUCUGCAACUCGACUCCAUGAAGUUGGAAUCGCUAGUAAUCGUGGAUCAGCAUGCCACGGUGAAUACGUUCCCGGGCCUU